rnacentral:rRNA from 1 species
AAGCUCGUAGUUGAAUUUCGGGAUCAAUGUUUCGGUCAUGCCGUUGGUAUGUACUGAUAUUAUUGAUUUCUCACCUUCUAAAGAACCGUAAUGCCAUUAAUUUGGUGUCACGGGGAAUUAGGACUGUUACCUUGAAAAAAUUGAGUGUUUAAAGCAGGCUCACGCUUGAAUACAUUAGCAUGGAAUAAUGAAAUAGGACAUCCGAUUCUAUUUUGUGGUUUCUAGGAUCGAUGUAAUGAUUAAUAGGGAUAGUUGGG